rnacentral:rRNA from 1 species
AUGUUGUGGUGUCAGAACUACAAGCAAAGAGUGAGGUGUCAUGGUCUCGUGAGGCAGGUGGUGCGCAUACUACAGAGGCACAAUGUUUCUGCUUGUUUACCAUCCAUCCCCAACAUUUUGAAGCUGCGAUGUCUCAUUACGCGUGGUGUACAGAGAUGUAUUCAGCAGAUCAACAAGGCGAACAGAGGCAAACUUACCCCGGAGGAACUGAAAGAGAGACAGGGCAAAGCUAUGCAGGACCCUGAAAUCCAGAACAUCCUGACGGACCCUGUGAUGCAGCAGGUGUUGAUUGAUUUCCAGGAGAAUCCAAGGGCUGCCUAG